rnacentral:rRNA from 1 species
GAUUAAGUGUCAUAAGGGCGUUCGGUGGAUGCCUUGGCGCUGAGAGGCGAUGAAGGACGUGGUACGCUGCGAUAAGCCUUGGGGAGCUGCGAACAAGCUUUGAUCCGAGGAUUUCCGAAUGGGGAAACCCACCUUCGAUACCUGUAAAUCCGAGAAUGACGGGACGGUGCAUCGGCGAGAGAUCGUUGAUGGAUUGGUUCUGGAUCGGCUGGCAAGCCGGUGAUGAGUGCUCGUGAGAGCCUCGGCAUUUUUGGAUUUGCAGGUAUCAAGACGAAGGUAUCUGAUCCUGAAUCCAUAGGGAUUAGAAGCGAACCCGGGGAACUGAAACAUCUAAGUACCCGGAGGAAAGGACAUCAACGAGACUCCGUUAGUAGUGGCGAGCGAACGCGGACCAGGCCAGUGCUUGCGCAAAUCCAACCGGAACCGUCUGGAAAGUCGGGCAUCAUGGGUGAUAGCCCCGUACGGAUGUAGAGAUGCGUAAGCCUUGAGUAGGGCGGGACACGUGCAAUCCUGUCUGAACAUGGGGGGACCACCCUCCAAGCCUAAGUACUCCUCAGCGACCGAUAGCGAACAAGUACCGUGAGGGAAAGGUGAAAAGCACCCCGACGAGGGGAGUGAAACAGUUCCUGAAACCGGAUGCCUACAAACAGUUGGAGCCCAAGGUUCGUCCUGGGUGACAGCGUACCUUUUGUAUAAUGGGUCAGCGACUUAAAGUAACGAGCAAGCUUAAGCCGAGAGGUGUAGGCGCAGCGAAAGCGAGUCUGAACAGGGCGUUCAGUUCGUUGCUUUAGACCCGAAACCGAGUGAUCUAGCCAUGAGCAGGUUGAAGGUGCGGUAACACGCACUGGAGGACCGAACCGGUGCCUGUUGAAAAAGUCUCGGAUGACUUGUGGUUAGGGGUGAAAGGCCAAUCAAACUCGGAAAUAGCUGGUUCUCCGCGAAAACUAUUUAGGUAGUGCCUCGUGUGAAUACUCUCGGGGGUAGAGCACUGAAUGGGCUAGGGGUCCUUACCGGAUUACCAAACCCAAUCAAACUCCGAAUACCGAGAAGUACUGCGCGGGAGACACACGGCGGGUGCUAACGUCCGUCGUGGAGAGGGAAACAACCCUGACCUACAGCUAAGGCCCCCAAUUCGUGGCUAAGUGGGAAAGGAUGUGAGAAUCCCAAAACAACCAGGAGGUUGGCUUAGAAGCAGCCAUCCUUUAAAGAAAGCGUAACAGCUCACUGGUCUAAACAAGGGUUCUUGCGCCGAAAAUGUACCGGGGCUCAAGCCACGAGCCGAAGCUUAGGAUUGCGACAACCUUCGGGUUGCGCAGUGGUAGCGGAGCGUUCCGUAGGCCUGUGAAGGAGGACCCGUGAGGGCCU